CAUGCCGUAAACGGUGGGCGCUAGGUGUAGGGGUCUUCCACGACUUCUGUGCCGUAGCUAACGCAUUAAGCGCCCCGCCUGGGGAGUACGGCCGCAAGGCUAAAACUCAAAGGAAUUGACGGGGGCCCGCACAAGCGGCGGAGCAUGUGGAUUAAUUCGAUGCAACGCGAAGAACCUUACCUGGGCUUGACAUAUACGGGACCGGGCCAGAGAUGGUCCUUCCCUUGUGGCUCGUAUACAGGUGG
rnacentral:rRNA from 1 species